GUGCUUGCUUCAGCAGCACAUAUACUAAAAUUGGAAUGAUACAGAGAUUAGCAUGGACCCUCCACAAGGAUGACAUAAAAAAUUUGUGAAGUAUUUCAUAUUUUU
ensembl:snRNA U6 U6 spliceosomal RNA